UACGUAGGGGGCAAGCGUUUGUCCGGAAUUAUUGGGCGUAAAGAGCGUGUAGGCGGCCAGAUAAGUCCGCUGUGAAAUCUCGAGGCUCAACUUCGAGCUGUCGGUGGAAACUAUCUGGCUAGAGUCCGGAAGAGGAGAAUGGAAUUCCUGGUGUAGCGGUGAAAAUGCGCAGAUAUCAGGAAGAAACACCCCGUGGGCGAA
rnacentral:rRNA from 1 species